AAUGAACGCUGGCGGCAGGCCUAACACAUGCAAGUCGAACGGGUCCUUCGGGACUAGUGGCGGACGGGUGAGUAACGCGUGGGAACGUGCCCUUUGCUACGGAAUAGCCCCGGGAAACUGGGAGUAAUACCGUAUAAGCCCUACGGGGGAAAGAUUUAUCGGCAAAGGAUCGGCCCGAGUUGGAUGAGGUAGUUGGGGGGGUAAUGGCCUACCAAGCCGACGAUCCAUAGCUGGUUUGAGAGGAUGAUCAGCCACACUGGGACUGAGACACGGCCCAGACUCCUACGGGAGGCAGCAGUGGGGAAUCUUAGACAAUGGGGGAAACCCUGAUCUAGCCAUGCCGCGUGAUCGAUGAAGGCCUUAGGGUUGUAAAGAUCUUUCAGGUGGGAAGAUAAUGACUGUACCACCAGAAGAAGCCCCGGCUAACUCCGUGCCAGCCGCCGCAGUAA
rnacentral:rRNA from 1 species